rnacentral:rRNA from 1 species
GUAGGGAAUAUUGGGCAAUGGAAGGAAUUCUGACCCAGCCAUGCCGCGUGCAGGAAUACAGUCCUAUGGACUUUAAACUGCUUUUAUUAUAGAGUAACCUGGGGGACGUGUCCCCCACUGCAAGUAUAUAAUGAAUAAGCAUCGGCUAACUCCGUGCCAGCAGCCGCGGUAAUACGGGGGAUGCAAGCGUUAUCCGGAUUUAUUGGGUUUAAAGGGUGCGCAGGCUGAUCGGUAAGUCAUGGGUGAAAAGUCACUGCUUAACAGUGAUCGUGCCUAUGAUACUGCCGGACUAGAGUUUAAGAGGUGUAACUGGAAUGUGAUGUGUAGCGGUGAAAUGCUUAGAUAUGUCACAGAACGCCAAUCGUGAAGACAGGUUACAAACUUAAUACUGACGCUCAUGCACGAAAGCGUGGGGAUCAAACAGGAUUAGAAACCCUGGUAGUCC